UACAGGGGGUGCAAACGUUGCUCGGAAUCAUUGGGCGUAAAGCGCACGUAGGCGGUUCGUUAUGUCGGAUGUGAAAGCCCUUGGCUUAACCGAGGAAGUGCAUCCGAAACUGGCGAGCUAGAGUACGAAAGAGGAUCGCGGAAUUCCCGGUGAUAUCGGGAGGAACACCGGUGGCGAAGGCGGCGAUCUGGGUCGAUACUGACGCUGAGGUGCGAAAGCGUGGGGAGCAAACAGG
rnacentral:rRNA from 1 species